rnacentral:tRNA from 1 species
CUGGGUGUAGCGCAGAUGGUAGCGCGCCACCUUGGGGUGGUGGAGGCCGUGGGUUCAAGUCCCGUCACUCAGA